UGGACAUGCAAGUCGAUCGGCAGCAUAGGUGCUUGCACUGAUGGCGAGUGGCGAACGGGUGAGUAACAUAUCGGAACAUGUCCGGAAGUGGGGGAUAACGUAGACAGAAAGUUACGCUAAUACCGCAUAUGCCCUGAGGGGGAAAGGGGGGGAUCGCAAGACCUCUCGCUUUCGGAGUGGCCGAUAUCGGAUUAGCUAGAUGGUGAGGUAAAGGCUCACCAUGGCGACGAUCCGUAGCUGGUCUGAGAGGACGACCAGCCACACUGGAACUGAGACACGGUCCAGACUCCUACGGGAGGCAGCAGUGGGGAAUUUUGGACAAUGGGCGCAAGCCUGAUCCAGCUAUACCGCGUGAGUGAAGAAGGCCUUCGGGUUGUAAAGACUCUUUCAGCCGGAAAGAAAUCGCACUGGUUAAUACCUUGUGUGGAUGACGGUACCGGAAGAAGAAGCACCGGCUAACUGCGUGCCAGCAGCCGCGGUAAUACGUAGGGUGCGAGCGUUAAUCGGAAUUACUGGGCGUAAAGCGUGCGCAGGCGGUUUUUUAAGCCAGAUGUGAAAUCCCCGGGCUCAACCUGGGAACUGCAUUUGGAACUGGAAGACUAGAGUGUAGCAGAGGGGGGUAGAAUUCCACGUGAUAGCAGUGAAAUGCGUAGAUAUGUGGAGGAAUACCAAUGGCGAAGGCAGCCCCCUGGGUUUAACACUGACGCUCAUGCACGAAAGCGUGGGGAGCAAACAGGAUUAGAUACCCUGGUAGUCCACGCCCUAAACGAUGUCAACUAGGUGUUGGGGGAAGGAGACUUCUUUAGUACCGCAGCUAACGCGUGAAGUUGACCGCCUGGGGAGUACGGUCGCAAGAUUAAAACUCAAAGGAAUUGACGGGGACCCGCACAAGCGGUGGAUUAUGUGGAUUAAUUCGAUGCAACGCGAAAAACCUUACCUACCCUUGACAUGUCAGAAAGGUCGCAGAGAUGUGAUUGUGCCCGAAAGGGAAUCUGAACACAGGUGCUGCAUGGCUGUCGUCAGCUCGUGUCGUGAGAUGUUGGGUUAAGUCCCGCAACGAGCGCAACCCUUGUCAUUAAUUGCCAUCAUUCAGUUGGGCACUUUAAUGAGACUGCCGGUGAUAAACCGGAGGAAGGUGGGGAUGACGUCAAGUCCUCAUGGCCCUUAUGGGUAGGGCUUCACACGUAAUACAAUGGUCGGUACAGAGGGUUGCCAACCCGCGAGGGGGAGCUAAUCUCAGAAAGCCGAUCGUAGUCCGGAUUGUUCUCUGCAACUCGAGAGCAUGAAGUCGGAAUCGCUAGUAAUCGCGGAUCAGCAUGUCGCGGUGAAUACGUUCCCGGAAUUGUACACACCGCCCGU
rnacentral:rRNA from 1 species